UAAGUUAGAAAGGGCGCACGGUGGAUGCCUUGACACUAGGAGUCGAUGAAGGACGGGACUAACGCCGAUAUGCUUCGGGGAGCUGUAAGUAAGCUUUGAUCCGAAGAUUUCCGAAUGGGGAAACCCACCAUACGUAAUGGUAUGGUAUCCUUAUCUGAAUACAUAGGAUAAGGAAGACAGACCCAGGGAACUGAAACAUCUAAGUACCUGGAGGAAGAGAAAGCAAAUGCGAUUUCCUGAGUAGCGGCGAGCGAAACGGAACAUAGCCCAAACCAAGAGGCUUGCCUCUUGGGGUUGUAGGACAUUCUAUACGGAGUUACAAAGGAACGAGGUAGACGAAGCGACCUGGAAAGGUCCGUCGUAGAGGGUAACAACCCCGUAGUCGAAACUUCGUUCUCUCUUGAAUGUAUCCUGAGUACGGCGGAACACGUGAAAUUCCGUCGGAAUCUGGGAGGACCAUCUCCCAAGGCUAAAUACUCCCUAGUGAUCGAUAGUGAACCAGUACCGUGAGGGAAAGGUGAAAAGCACCCCGGAAGGGGAGUGAAAGAGAUCCUGAAACCGUGUGCCUACAAAUAGUCAGAGCCCGUUAAUGGGUGAUGGCGUGCCUUUUGUAGAAUGAACCGGCGAGUUACGAUCCCGUGCGAGGUUAAGCUGAAGAGGCGGAGCCGCAGCGAAAGCGAGUCUGAAUAGGGCGUUUAGUACGUGGUCGUAGACCCGAAACCAGGUGAUCUACCCAUGUCCAGGGUGAAGUUCAGGUAACACUGAAUGGAGGCCCGAACCCACGCACGUUGAAAAGUGCGGGGAUGAGGUGUGGGUAGCGGAGAAAUUCCAAUCGAACCUGGAGAUAGCUGGUUCUCCCCGAAAUAGCUUUAGGGCUAGCCUUAAGUGUAAGAGUCUUGGAGGUAGAGCACUGAUUGGACUAGGGGUCCUCAUCGGAUUACCGAAUUCAGUCAAACUCCGAAUGCCAAUGACUUAUCCUUAGGAGUCAGACUGCGAGUGAUAAGAUCCGUAGUCAAAAGGGAAACAGCCCAGACCGCCAGCUAAGGUCCCAAAGUGUGUAUUAAGUGGAAAAGGAUGUGGAGUUGCUUAGACAACUAGGAUGUUGGCUUAGAAGCAGCCACCAUUUAAAGAGUGCGUAAUAGCUCACUAGUCGAGUGACUCUGCGCCGAAAAUGUACCGGGGCUAAAUACACCACCGAAGCUGCGGAUUGAUACCAAUGGUAUCAGUGGUAGGGGAGCGUUCUAAGGACAGUGAAGUCAGACCGGAAGGACUGGUGGAGUGCUUAGAAGUGAGAAUGCCGGUAUGAGUAGCGAAAGACGGGUGAGAAUCCCGUCCACCGAAUGCCUAAGGUUUCCUGAGGAAGGCUCGUCCGCUCAGGGUUAGUCAGGACCUAAGCCGAGGCCGACAGGCGUAGGCGAUGGACAACAGGUUGAUAUUCCUGUACCACCUCUUUAUCGUUUGAGCAAUGGAGGGACGCAGAAGGAUAGAAGAAGCGUGCGAUUGGUUGUGCACGUCCAAGCAGUUAGGCUGAUAAGUAGGCAAAUCCGCUUAUCGUGAAGGCUGAGCUGUGAUGGGGAAGCUCCUUAUGGAGCGAAGUCUUUGAUUCCCCGCUGCCAAGAAAAGCUUCUAGCGAGAUAAAAGGUGCCUGUACCGCAAACCGACACAGGUAGGCGAGGAGAGAAUCCUAAGGUGUGCGAGAGAACUCUGGUUAAGGAACUCGGCAAAAUGACCCCGUAACUUCGGGAGAAGGGGUGCUUUCUUAACGGAAAGCCGCAGUGAAUAGGCCCAAGCGACUGUUUAGCAAAAACACAGCUCUCUGCGAAGCCGUAAGGCGAAGUAUAGGGGGUGACACCUGCCCGGUGCUGGAAGGUUAAGGAGAGGGGUUAGCGUAAGCGAAGCUCUGAACUGAAGCCCCAGUAAACGGCGGCCGUAACUAUAACGGUCCUAAGGUAGCGAAAUUCCUUGUCGGGUAAGUUCCGACCCGCACGAAAGGUGUAACGAUUUGGGCACUGUCUCAACCAGAGACUCGGUGAAAUUAUAGUACCUGUGAAGAUGCAGGUUACCCGCGACAGGACGGAAAGACCCCGUGGAGCUUUACUGUAGCCUGAUAUUGAAUUUUGGUACAGUUUGUACAGGAUAGGCGGGAGCCUUUGAAACCGGAGCGCUAGCUUCGGUGGAGGCGCUGGUGGGAUACCGCCCUGACUGUAUUGAAAUUCUAACCUACGGGUCUUAUCGACCCGGGAGACAGUGUCAGGUGGGCAGUUUGACUGGGGCGGUCGCCUCCUAAAGUGUAACGGAGGCGCCCAAAGGUUCCCUCAGAAUGGUUGGAAAUCAUUCGUAGAGUGCAAAGGCAUAAGGGAGCUUGACUGCGAGACCUACAAGUCGAGCAGGGACGAAAGUCGGGCUUAGUGAUCCGGUGGUUCCGCAUGGAAGGGCCAUCGCUCAACGGAUAAAAGCUACCCCGGGGAUAACAGGCUUAUCUCCCCCAAGAGUCCACAUCGACGGGGAGGUUUGGCACCUCGAUGUCGGCUCAUCGCAUCCUGGGGCUGUAGUCGGUCCCAAGGGUUGGGCUGUUCGCCCAUUAAAGCGGUACGCGAGCUGGGUUCAGAACGUCGUGAGACAGUUCGGUCCCUAUCCGUCGUGGGCGUAGGAAAUUUGAGAGGAGCUGUCCUUAGUACGAGAGGACCGGGAUGGACGCACCGCUGGUGUACCAGUUGUUCUGCCAAGGGCAUAGCUGGGUAGCUAUGUGCGGAAGGGAUAAGUGCUGAAAGCAUCUAAGCAUGAAGCCCCCCUCAAGAUGAGAUUUCCCAUAGCGUAAGCUAGUAAGAUCCCUGAAAGAUGAUCAGGUUGAUAGGUUCGAGGUGGAAGCAUGGUGACAUGUGGAGCUGACGAAUACUAAUAGAUCGAGGACUUAACCA
rnacentral:rRNA from 1 species